UGAAUACGAGAUGCUACGGCGUUGAAGCAGUGUAUGUCAGACUUCCAAGAAAAGCUCGCAAUGUCAUAAAUAAAGAAUGCCUGUACCAUAACCGACACAGGUGGGUAGGUAGAGUAUACUAAGGGGCGCGAGAUAACUCUCUCUAAGGAACUCGGCAAAAUGACUCCGUAACUUCGGGAGAAGGAGUGCCUUAUUUAUAAGGUUGCAAUAACAAGAUCCAAGCAACUGUUUAUCAAAAACACAGGUCUCCGCUAAGUCGUAAGACGAUGUAUGGGGGCUGACGCCUGCCCAGUGCCAGAAGGUUAAAGAAGUUGGUUAGUGUAUGCGAAGCUGAUGACUGAAGCCCUGGUGAACGGCGGCCGUAACUAUAACGGUCCUAAGGUAGCGAAAUUCCUUGUCGGGUAAGUUCCGACCCGCACGAAAGGCGUAAUGAUUUGGAUACUGUCUCGGAGAGAGGCUCGGUGAAAUAGACUUGUCUGUGAAGAUGCGGACUACCUGCACCAGGACAGAAAGACCCUAUGAAGCUUUACUGUAACUUGAAAUUGGAAUUGGACUUUGCUUGCGCAGUAUAGGUGGGAAGCGUUGAAGAUAUUCUUGCGGGAGUAUUGGAGCUAUCAGUGAGAUACCACUCUUGUAAUGUUAGAUUUCUAACUUUGAACCAUAAUCUGGUCAAAGAACAGUUUCAGGUGGGCAGUUUGACUGGGGCGGUCGCCUCCCAAAUGGUAACGGAGGCGUACAAAGGUUUCCUCUGAACGGAUAGAAAUCGUAUCUAGAGUGUAAAGGCAUAAGGAAGCUUGACUGUGAGACCUACAAGUCGAGCAGGGACGAAAGUCGGUCUUAGUGAUCUGACGGUACUGAGUGGAAAGGCCGUCACUCAACGGAUAAAAGUUACUCUAAGGAUAACAGGCUGAUCUCCCCCAAGAGUUCACAUCGACGGGGAGGUUUGGCACCUCGAUGUCGGCUCAUCGCAUCCUGGGGCGGUAGUACGUCCCAAGGGUUGGGCUGUUCGCCCAUGAGAGCGGUACGCGAGCUGGGUUCAGAACGUCGUGAGACAGUUCGGUCCAUAUCCGGUGUAGGCGUUAGAAUAUUGAGAGGAGCCUUCUUUAGUACGAGAGGACCGAGAAGGACACACCGCUGGUGUACCAGUUAUCGUGCCAACGGUAAACGCUGGGUAGCUAUGUGUGGAGUGGAUAACCGCUGAAAGCAUCUAAGUGGGAAGCCCACCUCAAGAUGAGUAUUCUCA
rnacentral:rRNA from 1 species